UGCCCGCUCGCCGGGGGUCGAAGAGCAUCACACGUUCCCCGGACUCAAAGCAACGAGCGAGCCAGCACUUUCUGCUCAGAUCACCCGAUGGGUUCCAGGUCCUGCUCCUACGUCUUCUUGCUCGGCCUUUGCUCCCUGCUGCUAGUGGUGCUUUCAGGCCAGCGCACGCUAGCUCGAGACACUCCCGUGUCCACAGCAACGGCCUUGGCUCCAUUUGUUCAUGCGCCUGCCAAGGGCGACGCCGGCGGCCACCGUGCUGAUGUGGAUAAGCCUCGAGUAUCGGAUGAGAAGCCAACAAUAACCGGAAUAAUCUGGAGGCCCGUGCCUAAGAUCCACUGCCCGUCCAUCUUUUGCGGUACCAAGGCUGCCACUGCCACUGCCCCUGCGGCAACGGCACAUCCAUGACAAGAAGAAGAUAGAGUGGUGGUUCGCAAUGUAAUCAUAUGCAUGUUUUCCUACCCUGGUUUUAGUAAUUUAGAUAUAUAUGUAUGUGUUCCACGAGUGUUGCAGCGUGCCUGCAAAGGCCUCUCGAUGGAUACUAGUAGUGCUAUGGUAGCACGGUCGGGUUGUAGUUUCAUUCAUUGUAUCUGUCGAUCAUGCAAUUGGUUGCUGUCUCUCGGUCC